rnacentral:rRNA from 1 species
UACGGAGGGUGCUAGCGUUGUUCGGAAUUACUGGGCGUAAAGCGUGCGUAGACGGUUAUUUAAGUCAGGUGUGAAAGCCCCGGGCUCAACCUGGGAAUUGCAUUUGAGACUGAAUAGCUAGGGUGCGGAAGAGGGAAGCGGAAUUUCCGGUGUAGCGGUGAAAUGCGUAGAUAUCGGAAGGAACAACCAGUGGCGAAAGCGGCUUCCUGGUCCAGCACCGACGUCAGGCACGAAAGCGUGGGGAGCAAACAGG